rnacentral:lncRNA from 1 species
UGUACAAUAACAAUUAACCUGUUUAGGUGAAAUCAAAUAGAGAGAUAUUACAUGCUAUUUGUAUUAUUCAUGUGAAAUCAAAUAGAUAUAUACGUGGAUAAAAAAAUUUUAUUCAUAUACAUGGUCAAUGAAGGAUAAAAAAAUUCAUUUUAUGAAAUAUGAGGGAUGAAAAAAUUUAUUUUGUAAAAUGUGAGGAAAGAAAAAAUUUAUUUUGCGAAAUGUGAGGGAUUCUAGUUUAGAUUAUGUAAAAUUUGACAAUUUUGCCCCUUAAAAAUAAUCACGUGCAACGUACGUGGUGGAUUCUGACUACAAACUAGUCGGAAAUCUAGGUAGGGACCAAAUUUAAUCAAUGUGAAUUUAUAAGGAACGUAAAAUUACACUUUUAAAAGUGAAGGAUGGAAAAAGUUAUUUUGCAAAAUGUAAGAAAUGUUUUGAAUGAUUUUCCCUUUUUUUAAUAACAAAAAUCUGGUAGUAGCUAUUUUCGUUUUUUUUUUCCCUUUUGUCUUUCUUGAAGUUAUGAUUAGCGCCAAUUGUCAAACAAUUAUUCAUUUUGGUCUCCGUUAUUUUACGGUACAAAGUUCAAAUGUUCCCCAAAGUGCCUCGAGCAAGCAAACAAGAUAAUUAGAAGAGAAAAUUGCACCAAUUGUUUCUUACAUAUUAUUGAUAUGAAAUUUUAGUCCCUUAAAAUCAAAAUGAGCGAGUUUAGCUUUUAAUAAAUUGGAAAAAAAAAACCCUCUCUUUUGAUCCCUCGUUACCUUUCCUACCAAAUAUUUGCCAAAAUAUGUCACGAACCAAUCAUAUGAUCAAUUUUCGAAAGACAAAUUUGGUAACUCAUUUAAUAUUGGACCGAUUUCUCAUUUGAUCUACCAUUUUUCCUAAUUAUUCUUUGCCCAAAUCCUAAUUUUACAAACUCAAAUCCUGAUCACUUAUUUUCCUCUUUCACCGUCAUCCACUCAUACCAUUCCCAUUUCCACCAUUGCCAUCUGACCUCUCACCCCUCACUUGCCACCUCUUUCACCUCUCCUUCCUUUCUCCUCUUCUUUCCCCUAUGUUAUGGGCCUUGUAAAUAGGUCUAUUUUGUUUUCUCCCUCUAUUUUUUAAAAACCAUGAAAAUGGGUUUUCUAAAGUUUCAAACAUUUGUUAUAAUUUUGUUGAUUCUUGAGGUUAUAUGGCUAAUUUUGGGGUUUUACUGAAGUUGUAUAUUUCAUAUGGGUCGUUUUGCUAAAAAUUCAAUUUUUUGUAAUGUUUUGAUGGAAAAAAGUAAAAAGAAAC